rnacentral:sRNA from 1 species
UCAUUUCUCUCCUCUAGGACGUCUCAUCAGGUGUUCAGUUUAGGAGGACGUUCCUCUCUGGAGCUGUGGCAGCUCUCUGUGUGGGGAGAUACAGGGAUGGCCAUCAAUCUCCAAGGUGGUGGAGUCUUUAUUUGUCAUUGUAUUUCUUUGAUGUUCCUUGAUCUCUGCAGCUCGAGUUCAUGGAAGCUGAAUCCGUGAGUUAAUCUAUGGGUUUCUUUGGAGAAAAGUCUUUGCAGCUGGAAUUAGGAUCCAUUGCUGAAAUGGCCACAAAACUGAGUCUGAAACACAACAGCCCCAGCGAGUCAGGAGUCCAAAGACUUAAACCACAAGAAAAUGAGGAGAUUACCGCAUGGAAGUUGCAAUUCCAUUAUCUGUCAGCCUCCAAAGAUAAAAGGUGCCACCAGUGUAUCCAGAAAGUAAUUUUUCAGUAGCCAUAUGUGACAAGAAUUACAUUUCUGCACCAGGACAUCUUGAUGUGGUACAUCAUAAAUAUUCAGGUUCUGCAGACUUUGAAAAAGAUAUAAUAUCUUCUUUCUUGGAUAACAUUGGCUUCAAGGUCAGAUUCAAGAUGACUUCCUAUUUCUAAUAGGAACUAAAAAUUCUUAUACAUGAGAACAAACGAGCAGUUGGGGAAUGGUCUGAGGAUAUUGCAGAAUCUGAAAGCUGGGGGGCUUGGGUUUGGAAAUCAUGUCAUGAAUGAGAUCACUGUGGAUCUGGGCAAACAGGGAGCUAGAUAGCUCUGUUCCCUUUCCAUCUGUUCCUGUGGCAUGGGAUGAGAAGUUCUGGAGGGCAAAGAAUAUUCCCCUCCCCACCUAGCAGACCACAUGUGCCCUGUUCUAGAUAAUGCAUUGUUUCAGAAGCAUGGGAUUUCUUGCAGAAUCAUGAGCUUCUUCCUAGAUUCAUUUUGAGGGAUGAUCGUGUCCUCUGUGUGCUCAAAGGAUAAAAAGGUUUCUGUGGAAUGACCAGGUGACAAGUAUGUAGAGCUUGACUGUAUAGCUGUGAUACUUCUAUUCAUAUUAAAAUGUCUUUUGUAUGGUGCGAGAACUAAGAGAGAAAGGGGUAAUUUGUAGCCCCUGUAUAACAUUUGCAUCCAGUCUGUGAGUGUCAGGGGUAGGCUUGUGUAGAAGUCUCGGUUUAAAAUUUCCAAACACGAACUCUGAACUUGCUAGUAAUUCAUUGAAGAAUUGAGCUUGCUUGUCCAUGCACUAGGUUCACUUUCUUGUCCCUGAUAGGCAGAGUUCGCUGUGGUAGCUGUCAACCUCCUACUUGGUAACUACAGUAUUUGAGAGGAUGGGACAGCAAACACAGAAAGAGUGGCCUAAAACUUAGGAGAGUCCCAUGAAGUUCACAUACUGGGGGCAGAAGUGUUGAGUUCCUCCGAGCCUGACUCAAAGAGAGGUACUUUCACAAAGACUUUGGAAUCUCUUUAAAACGUCCUGUCCUGAGACCACAGUACACCACAUCCUGGUUUUGGUUCCUCUCAAUAAGGGGUACCUUCAGAGCUCCUUAUUCGAGUUUUAGAAUGUUCUGCUCUGGUGUCAUCAAGAUGGGACUCUUUAGCACUGUACUGAGCCACAUACAGGUUCAAUUUCUCUUUUUUAGGGCAAUCUCCUAUCUUCUUCUCAUGGGAUUUUACAAGGUAGUCUAGGAGCUCUGAGCAUCAUGCCUUUCUGUCAAGGCUAGGGUCAGCUUGGAAUACAAAUGGCUCCUGCUGGCGUACUAGUAUUUCUUUUGUGGAAACUGGUCUGCCAGAUGAUGCUGUAUGCUAGCCUUGAUUACUCAAUUGUUUACAUAGGUCAUGAAAUGCUGUAAAAGUAUGUGUGGGCCCUGAGCAAUUAUUUGUACUAAUGUCAAGCUCAUCCUCUAACAGACCCUGUAAAGCUGUCUCCCAAAACAUGUCACAAGAUACUGACUCCACAGAUCAGAAACUGAGAGCUAGAGAGGAACUUGUGUUCAAGUCCUCUGUCCUCUGUCAGAGAUGGCAUUGAGUCCUGAUUUCUGGUUGUGUGGAUACACAAUAGAUGGAUGAUAGACAUUGUAUACUUGUGCAAUGACUUUCGGGAAGUCACUGAAGCUUUCUGAGCUCCAGUGUCCUUCUCUUUAAGAGAGGAUAAUGAGGCUGAAGAGGCAACUCAGGGGUUAAAAGCAUUUGCUGGUCCAGUUCCCAGCAACCACAGGAGCCUUUAACUUCCACUCUAGGAGAUCCAAUAUCCACUUGAGGCUUUCGCAGGCACUGCAGGCAUGUGGUGUACA